GACGAACGCUGGCGGCGUGCUUAACACAUGCAAGUCGAACGCUGAAGCCUAGCUUGCUGGGUGGAUGAGUGGCGAACGGGUGAGUAACACGUGAGUAACCUGCCCCCUUCUUUGGGAUAACGCCCGGAAACGGGUGCUAAUACUGGAUAUUCACUGAUCUUCGCAUGGGGGUUGGUGGAAGGUUUUUUCUGGUGGGGAUGGCUCGCGGCCUAUCAGUUGUGGUGGGUGAUGCUACAAGCUUACGGAGCGCGAAGUGACGUAAUGGAUGAAUCGGCACUCUGGAGACAUGGGAAUUACAGGGGGACUAAGAGGCCCCUGAGGGGAGUUCGGUGUACCUUUCUCGGUACCCACUAGUGGGGGGAGGGAAAAGCGGGCUAUUCUGCAGCACCCCGUAUAUCUUGGGGCCGACCUUUUCCCGAAAUUUUGGGGUUAAAGGCCUUUUACCGUUGGCCCCCCCCCCCCCAAAAACCCCUUGGGUUAAAUGGGGGGGGGGGGGGGGGCUACGCUAUAUUAUUGGGGGGGGGGGGGAAAAAAGAAAAUCCCCGGGGUGUGGGGGAAAAAUCCCCAAAUUCCCAAAAAAAACCCCCCGGUGAAAAAGGGUUUCUCUGGGUCUUUUUUUUUAUUUAAAGAACAAAACGGGUAGGGAAAAAAAAAAUAUAAUACCCCCGUGGUUGCAGGGGGUUUUUUGGGGGGGUAUCGGGCUGUUAUCCCCUGU
rnacentral:rRNA from 1 species